rnacentral:lncRNA from 1 species
CUGAUUUUGAAGAUAAGAGUAUUACACAGUAUCUUAAAUCAGAAAUACGCUACAGGAAUGAUGAAAGUUUACUAUGGGAAAUUGGUAGUAUAUUCUAUCCAAGGGUCAGCCUAAUCUCAUAUGCUAUCAAGGGACAAUGUCCAAUCCUAAAAAGACAGAAAUAAGAUGUAAUAUGAGUGCCAAUAAGGCAACUCUCAAUCCAAGUCACCAUGCGUUAAAAGUAAACAAUUAUGGAUCAAAGUACAGCAUUCAACACGGAGCCUUGGCUCACACAGAACAUCAAUCUAUAAAUUGCCCGA